GGAUGUGAGGGCGAUUUGACUGUGACAUUUGUCACCCCAUUGAUUGCCAGGGUUGACUCAGCUGAUCUGGCUGGCUAGGCAGAAGUCCCCUUCCUCCCUCACCACUCCAUGUGAGUCCCUCAUCCCUCCCAAAGCUGUGUGCUCAGUGGGAGAGGAGACCACCCCCGAGAGAGGAGCACCAUUUCCUUGGUCAGUGGUAUAUGAGUAGCUGCAUUACCCCACUAGAACCUCCAAACAAGAAUGCCUGAUGUUAGCAUAGAUAAGGCCAGACCAUACAAAAGGACAAUAAAAGGUGGAGAUUUGAGAUCAAUGAGAAAAAAAUCUCUUUACAUUAGCAUCAUAUUGGUUCCAGAUAUCUGAGACUUGGUGUGCCUGGUU
rnacentral:snRNA from 1 species